GAUGAAGAACGUAGUGAAAUGCGAUACGUAAUGUGAAUUGCAGAAUUCAGUGAAUCAUCGAAUCUUUGAACGCAUAUUGCGCUCUCUGGUAUUCCGGAGAGCAUGCUUGUUUGAGUAUCAGUAAACACCUCAACUCCCCUUUCUUUUUUUGAAAUGGGAGCUGGACUUGAGUGAUCCCAACGCUUUUCUCACCGAAAAGUGGCGGGUUACUUGAAAUGCAGGUGCAGCUGGACUUUUCUCUGAGCUAAAAGCAUAUCUAUUUAGUCUGCCUAAAAAACAGAUUAUUACCUUUGCUGCAGCUAACAUAAAGGAGAUUAGUACUUGUGCUGACUGAUGCAGGAUUCACAGAGACAGCUUCGGCUGGUCUUUGUAAACUCGAUCUCAAAUCAAGUAAGACUACCCGCUGAACUUAAGCAUAUCAAUAAGCGGAGGA
rnacentral:misc_RNA from 1 species